rnacentral:sRNA from 1 species
CCCCGUCCCGUUUGCUUCAUAACUUAUCCACCCAAUAGUUGGACGCCACGUACCCAAUUCCACAACGGACGCUGCUGCCUCCGUUUGCUUGGAAACCACACUAGCUAAAGGCGGUUCCUCCUUUAGCAGCCAGAUAUAAAUACAACACCCCAUCGCUCUCUCUGCGAAUAAGCUUUCGACUUGCUUUCUUCGCGAUCAGAGGUGCUACUGACAAUGGAAUCACAGAAAACUCAACAUGAGCCAUCACCGGCUGCUGCAAACCCAGCCGCCACUUCAUGUCGAAAGAAGAAGAACGAACAAGCCACUUUCUUGGAGGAUUUGAAGGAUCAUAUUGAUGAUUUUGUAAAUGCAUCUAUGGAUGAACACAAAACUUGCUUCAAGAAGACCAUGAACAAGAUGUUUGGAAUGUCAAAGAUCGUCUCUAAGAGGAGUGCUGACACCAAGGAAGUUGAGAGUACUCUGCCCCUUCAAACCACAGUGGCAAAAUAGGACAUCUUCUCUUGCGUAUUAUAGGCAUAUAUCUUGAGAACCAAACUUUGCUCCUGGCCUUAACCAAUUAGAUUUUUGUGAUGUGUAAUUUGUUAAAAUUGUGGUACUGCACUGUCAUUUUUACCAGUACGAAAACUUGAGUUUGUAGGUUAAGUGGCGACUAUUAUGAACUCGAUUACAUAGUGUCAACAACGAUGUUACUUCUCGUGAUUUACUCUUUUGCUAUUCGGGUAGUUUUUAGUAUGUAGUAUGAGAUUGCACAGGAGUGCAUUUGUAUAGCGAACUAUGGUUUUGGUCCUUAUAAUUCGGACGAAGUUCCAUAUUUGUUCUAUUAGUUUCAGUUACCGCAAUUUAAACUCCAUGGUUUACGUACUGUUGUACCUCAAGGACAAAGGCA